rnacentral:rRNA from 1 species
CCGGACGCGGACUGGACCAGCGGCCCGCCGGGGACCUCAAACUCUUGUAUUCCAGCAUCUUCUGAAUACGCCGCAAGGCAAAACAAAUGAAUCAAAACUUUCAACAACGGAUCUCUUGGCUCUGGCAUCGAUGAAGAACGCAGCGAAACGCGAUAAGUAAUGUGAAUUGCAGAAUCCAGUGAAUCAUCGAAUCUUUGAACGCACAUUGCGCCCGCCAGCAUUCUGGCGGGCAUGCCUGUUCGAGCGUCAUUUCAACCCUCGACCUCCCCUUGGGGAGGUCGGCGUUGGGGACCGGCAGCACACCGCCGGCCCUGAAAUGGAGUGGCGGCCCGUCCGCGGCGACCUCUGCGCAGUAAUACAGCUCGCACCGGAACCCCGACGCGGCCACGCCGUAAAACACCCAACUUCUGAACGUUGACCUCGAAUCAGGUAGAAUACCCCGAGUCCUU